rnacentral:lncRNA from 1 species
CGUCGAGGGCGAAACAGAGCGAAGGUGCUGCAAUGCGCUGCCUUGCCACAAGAGCAACACGGUAGGAUGACUAAAGGACGCAACACUUCUGGACGGGAAUUACAUGUUCAAGAAUUGUUUUGAAAUGUACAAGGAAGAUAUUGGCAUUCUCCUUCCGCCAUCAGCUGUUCAACAUCUGCGAGCUGCAAAGGCUCUCCUGUAUGACAAGG